rnacentral:rRNA from 1 species
AUUGAACGCCGGCGGCAUGCUUUACACAUGCGAGUCGAACGGUAACAGGUUAAGCUGACGAGUGGCGAACGGGUGAGUAAUGCAUCGGAACGUGCCCGAUCGUGGGGGAUAACACUUCGAAAGAAGUGCUAAUACCGCAUACGAUCUGAGGAUGAAAGCGGGGGACCGUAAGGCCUCGCGCGAUCGGAGCGGCCGAUGUCAGAUUGGGUAGUUGGUGGGGUAAAGGCCAACCAAGCCGACGAUCUGUAGCUGGUCUGAGAGGACGACCAGCCAAACGGGGACUGAAACAGGGCCCAGACUCCUGCGGGAGGCAGCAGUGGGGAAUUUUGGACAAUGGGCGAAAGCCUGACUCAGCCAUGCCGCGUGCAGGAUGAAGGCCUUCGGGUUGUAAACUGCUUUUGUACGGAACGAAAAGGUUUGGCCUAAUAAGCUGAGCUCAUGACGGUACCGUAAGAAUAAGCACCGGCUAACUACGUGCCAGCAGCCGCCGUAA